UACGAAGGGGGCUAGCGUUGUUCGGAAUCACUGGGCGUAAAGCGCACGUAGGUGGGUCGCUAAGUCGGGGGUGAAAUCCUGGAGCUCAACUCCAGAACUGCCUUCGAUACUGGCGAUCUUUGAGUCCGGGAGAGGUGGGUGGAACUGCGAGUGUAGAGGUGAAAUUCGUAGAUAUUCGCAAGAACACCAGUGGCGAAGGCGGCUCACCGGCCCGGUACUGACACUGAGGUGCGAAAGCGUGGGGAGCAAACAGG
rnacentral:rRNA from 1 species